GACGAACCGUGCGAACGUUAUUCGGAAUCACUGGGCUUAAGACGCGUGUAGGCGGAUGGAGCGUCGGAACCUGAAAGCCCCCCGGCUCAACCGGGGAAGCGGGGCCGAAACGACCCGUCUGGAGGGACGUAGGGGGAUCUGGAACUUCCGGUGGAGCGGUGAAAUGCGUUGAGAUCGGAAGGAACGCCCGUGGCGAAAGCGAGAUCCUGGACGUUUUCUGACGCUGAGACGCGAAAGCUAGGGGAGCAAACGGG
rnacentral:rRNA from 1 species